rnacentral:rRNA from 1 species
GUCUACGGCCAUGCCACCUUGAACAAGCCCAAUGUCUGAUCUCGGAAGCUAAACAGGAUCGGGCCUAGUUAGUACUCAGAUGGGAGACUACCUAGGAAGACCAGGUGCUAUAGGCA